UACGUAGGGUGCGAGCGUUAAUCGGAAUUACUGGGCGUAAAGCGCACGUAGGCGGAUACUUAAGUCAGGGGUGAAAUCCCGGGGCUCAACCCCGGAACUGCCUUUGAUACUGGGUAUCUCGAGUCCGGAAGAGGUGAGUGGAAUUCCGGGUGGAGUGGUGAAAUGCGUAGAGAUCCGGAGGAACACCAAAGGCGAAGGCAGUGUCCUGGGGAGUACCUGACGCUCAGGUGCGAAAGCCAGGGGAGCGAACGGGG
rnacentral:rRNA from 1 species